GUUUUUAAUCGAACCAAAACCUCAACCCCGAUCUCUGCAUUUGACCUCCAAAAAUUAGGGCUUUUUUUGAAUUGUUUCGAACAAAAAAAGGGGGCUUUUUUUGAACGACCGUACAAGAAGAUUAGACUUUCGAUUUCAGUAAAAAAGGGCAUUUUUUUGUUGUUUAGUAAAUGGACAUCAAGUAAUGGAAAUAUGAUUUCAGAAUUGAAAAUUUUUCAAGGAUUCUUCUUUGAUGGUUUGGUUAUUGAAAAUGUUGAACCUUAAUUUUGAUACGUAGUAUUGCCACAAAUUGGCCGCUGUUACUAUGGACAAUAAUAGUGGGCCGGGCUGCGAAUCUUUGAUUUCACCAUAAAAGUAGCAAGGGAAAAUGCAGCACCUGUAACACAGUUGCAUAGAUAUCAUUCACGCAGCUAGAGUUACCAAAGAGUUCCAAGUGUUUGUUCCAUUCUUUUUAGUUAAUUAGGAGUAGCUUUUAGUUUUGUGUCGUGUUUCAUAAGCAUUUAUACUUGUAGCGUAUGCCAUCUGAUUGAGAUAUCCUGUUGUAAAGGGAUUGUAAAGAUAGAUGGACGCAGUUGUUAAUUCAUUCGUCACCCAUGUGGUAAAUUUGAGCGAGUUUCUUUUGGUAGAAAUAGCAAGCUCAACAACGAAACAUGGAUGAAAUUGUUCGGGUAAGUUCCUGGAAUAUAUCGGAGUUGGGUAGCUUGUUGCGAACAAGUGAGUAAAUUCUCUGGGGCUGUGUAUACAAAAUAUUCGUCAUUGGAAGAGGCAAAGGGAUGCUUGGAGGGCAUAUGUCGAAGCUAGGUCCAGUGAGCAAUUUCCGCUUGAGCAAGAAAUCAUCACCGAUUACCCACCUUUGCUCAAACCUGUGCAAUCAAACAUGGACGACCAUUGUGGUUCAACUAAGUGCAAUCAAACAUGGACGACAUCCUAUUUACUUGAAGCAGCAACGGGAUUUGUAGUUUAAUUUGUAUAAGACUCUUAUGUAAUGUGUAAUGCUUAUUUUGAACCAUUGUGAAGAACAAUUAUUAACUUCAAGCAACUUCUAUUGCUCUCUGGCACUGCUGUAUCCAUUUUAAGUAUCUUGUUCUGGGAAGGGCCAAGAGUUUUGGAUUCUUAAUGCUGACUUUGAAGAAUGUGGUAGUGUUGUAUUGUCAUUACUUUUCUCAAGUGUUAUAUUGUCAAGUGAAGCUGGAAUUUGCUAAUGUAAUGUUAUGACAAUAUGUAGUUGUUAAGGUUGAAACUUGUUGCUGCUUUUUUGGAAUAUCAAGUUGUAGUGAGGUGGUGGAACCAUGAUUUUGUGUAACUUGGGCUAUAUGACAUGGUGUUGUAAUUGUUGUA